rnacentral:lncRNA from 1 species
UGAAUCCGGGUCUGUGCGGCCCUUGAGGACGCUCACACCAUGAGUAGGACGCUUGACUGACGGCAUCACGGUCAGAUAAAGAAACCGUUUUAACCGAGAAGAAGAGCAAAUUAUCUGAAGCACCUGUAAAUAAAUAAAAGCCGUCUGUGUACAGAUAUCAUCAAGAAAUGUGCUGGAAAAUGAUGCAAGUUGUUAAGAAACAACAAACUAAAAAAAAAAAAAGGAAAAUACAAAAAUGAAAACUUAUUCAAAUAUUAAGUUUAUUAGUUUAUUUUAAAACUGUGUAAUUCAAAUUGAAUGAAAUGUUACAUGCAAUUCAAAUACAUAAAUCUUAAAAUUAGGCUUGAAUAUUAUUUUGAGUGCAUGCAACCUGACACAGUAGCUUGAAGUAAAUGUGUUUGUGUCUCCGCAGACAUGCAGAGCUGUGAACAGUGUUGACCGGCGGCAUCUGGACAGACAUGGAGCCUUGUGCCGAGUCUCAGGGAGAUCCUGAGAGAGCUCAGGUGCAGUGUAUAGUGUGCUGUGUGUCCAGUUCACUGACUGACCAGCUGUGAGAAACACUGAGCAAACAGACGAUCAUCUAAUGAUCAACAGAGAGGAAGAGAAACAGGGAGGAGCGGCCUGUGAGAAUGAGAGAUUUGUGUGAUCUCUGCAGACGCUCCGGCUCACUAACGGUAGGCUUGGCUCUGUUUCUCUGUUACUCACGAUAAAUCCAGACAGAUGAA